rnacentral:lncRNA from 1 species
UAAUGGUGAUGAUUUUGCAUAGGAUGAUCCAACUGGCACGAGUCCGUCGAGCGGCGAGAAGAAACCGAAAGGUCGAGUGAAGAAGGAAAAGCCUGAGAAGCCUGAGAAGGCUGAGAAGGCGGCCAAGUCUGACGGACUCAAGCAGACCAAGCUGGUGUUUAAGAAGGAACCCAAGAAGAAGAAGGCAGCCAUGAGCGGCAGCAGCUCCGACGAGAUGUCCGGCUCCGACGUGGAGAUGGUGGAGGCGCCCGCGCCGCGCGAGCGAGCCACCUCCAGGCGAGCGGCUACUAAGGUAC